rnacentral:rRNA from 1 species
CAAGAUACCUGGAAUGGUUUUUGAUUAAAAUCUAUAUGGCCUUUGGAUUGGACUGCGACCGAUCAGGCUGUUGGUGAGGUAAUGGCCCACCAAACCUGUAACCGGUACGGGCUCUGAGAGGAGGAGCCCGGAGAUGGGUACUGAGACAAGGACCCAGGCCCUAUGGGGCGCAGCAGGCGCGAAACCUCUGCAAUAGGCGAAAGCCUGACAGGGUUAUUCUGAGUGACUUUCGCUAAGAAAGUCUUUUGACACCUCUAAAAAUGGUGUAGAAUAAGGGGUGGGCAAGUCUGGUGUCAGCCGCCGCGGUAAUACCAGCACCCCGAGUGGUCGGGACGAUUAUUGGGCCUAAAGCAUCCGUAGCCGGUUUUACAAGUCCUCCGUUAAAUCCAACUGCUUAACAGAUGGGCCGCGGAGGAUACUAUAAGACUAGGAGGCAGGAGAGGCAAGCGGUACUCAGUGGGUAGGGGUAAAAUCCGUUGAUCCAUUG